rnacentral:rRNA from 1 species
UAGAGUUUGAUCCUGGCUCAGAGUGAACGCUGGCGGCAGGCCUAACACAUGCAAGUCGAACGGCAGCACAGAGGAGCUUGCUCCUUGGGUGGCGAGUGGCGGACGGGUGAGGAAUGCAUCGGAAUCUGCCUAUUUGUGGGGGAUAACGUAGGGAAACUUACGCUAAUACCGCAUACGUCCUACGGGAGAAAGUGGGGGACCUUCGGGCCUCACGCAGAUAGAUGAGCCGAUGCCGGAUUAGCUAGUUGGCGGGGUAAAGGCCCACCAAGGCGACGAUCCGUAGCUGGUCUGAGAGGAUGAUCAGCCACACUGGAACUGAGACACGGUCCAGACUCCUACGGGAGGCAGCAGUGGGGAAUAUUGGACAAUGGGCGCAAGCCUGAUCCAGCCAUGCCGCGUGUGUGAAGAAGGCCUUCGGGUUGUAAAGCACUUUUGUCCGGAAAGAAAAGCGCUCGAUUAAUACUCGGGUGUUAUGACGGUACCGGAAGAAUAAGCACCGGCUAACUUCGUGCCAGCAGCCGCGGUAAUACGAAGGGUGCAAGCGUUACUCGGAAUUACUGGGCGUAAAGCGUGCGUAGGUGGUUUGUUAAGUCUGAUGUGAAAGCCCUGGGCUCAACCUGGGAACUGCAUUGGAUACUGGCUUACUAGAGUGCGGUAGAGGGGUGUGGAAUUCCCGGUGUAGCAGUGAAAUGCGUAGAUAUCGGGAGGAACAUCUGUGGCGAAGGCGACACCCUGGACCAGCACUGACACUGAGGCACGAAAGCGUGGGGAGCAAACAGGAUUAGAUACCCUGGUAGUCCACGCCCUAAACGAUGCGAAGCUGGAUGUUGGGGGCAACUUGGCCCUCAGUAUCGAAGCUAACGCGUUAAGUCGCCC